GACGAACGCUGGCGGCGUGCUUAACACAUGCAAGUCGAACGGAAAGGCCCUGCUUUUGUGGGGUGCUCGAGUGGCGAACGGGUGAGUAACACGUGAGUAACCUGCCCUUGACUUUGGGAUAACUUCAGGAAACUGGGGCUAAUACCGGAUAGGAGCUCCUGCUGCAUGGUGGGGGUUGGAAAGUUCCGGCGGUUGGGGAUGGACUCGCGGCUUAUCAGCUUGUUGGUGGGGUAGUGGCUUACCAAGGCUUUGACGGGUAGCCGGCCUGAGAGGGUGACCGGCCACAUUGGGACUGAGAUACGGCCCAGACUCCUACGGGAGGCAGCAGUGGGGAAUAUUGCACAAUGGGCGGAAGCCUGAUGCAGCAACGCCGCGUGCGGGAUGACGGCCUUCGGGUUGUAAACCGCUUUCGCCUGUGACGAAGCGUGAGUGACGGUAAUGGGUAAAGAAGCACCGGCUAACUACGUG
rnacentral:rRNA from 1 species